GGAUUAGAUACCCUGGUAGUCCACGCCGUAAACGAUGAGCACUAGUUGUUGCGGGUAUUGACCCCUGCAGUGACGACGCUAACGCAUUAAGUGCUCCGCCUGGGGACUACGGCCGCAAGGCUAAAACUCAAAGGAAUUGACGGGGGCCCGCACAAGCGGUGGAGUAUGUGGUUUAAUUCGACGCAACGCGCAGAACCUUACCCGGCCUUGACAUCGAGGGAAAGCCUUAUGAAAGUAAGGCCCUCACCUUCGGGUGACCCAAAGACAGGUGCUGCAUGGCUGUCGUCAGCUCGUGCCG
rnacentral:rRNA from 1 species